CGUUCAUCUUCCCAAGUGAAUGGAAAUUUUUGGCUGGUGCAUUAAAAGUUGUUAGGUGGCCAUAUUCUCCUUUGGAAGCUCUUCCACUUGAAACUCAAUUGAAUCGACUUGUUGAAAUGGAUAUGUCACAUAGCAAAAUAAAACAACUUUGGAACAACAAACAUCGUAUGACAAAGUUGAAAUCUAUCGUAUUGAAAAAGUCUCUCAAUUUGAUCGAAACUCCAGACUUCUCAGGUGCUCCAAAUUUAGAACAUUUACAUCUUGGUGGAUGCACAUCUCUUGUCAAGGUUCAUCCCUCCCUUGGACAGUUGGAAAAGCUUGUUGAGGUGGACUUGAAUCAUUGUGCAAACCUUGAAAUCCUACCAAAAAAAUUGGAAACAAAUUCUUUGGUGAAGUUAAACCUUAGGGGGUGU